GAGUUUUGAUCCUGGCUCAGGAUGAACGCUAGCUACAGGCUUAACACAUGCAAGUCGAGGGGAAACGACAUCGAAAGCUUGCUUUUGAUGGUCGUCGACCGGCGCACGGGUGAGUAACGCGUAUCCAACCUGCCCAUCACGUUGGGGAUAACCUUGACGAAAGUAAGACUAAUACCCAAUGACGUCUCUAGAAGACAUCUAGAAAGAGAUUAAAGUAUUUAUCGGUGAUGGAGUGGGGAUGCGUCUGAUUAGCUUGUUGGGCGGGGUAACCGGCCCACCAAGGCGACGAUCAGGUAGGGUUCUGAGAGGAACGGCCCCCACAUUGGAACUGAGACACGGUCCAAACUCCUACGGGAGGCAGCA
rnacentral:rRNA from 1 species